UACGUAGGUGGCGAGCGUUGUCCGGAUUUAUUGGGCGUAAAGCGCGCGCAGGCGGUGCGGUAAGUCCGUCGGGAAAUCUCCCGGCUCAACUGGGAGGGUGCGGUGGAGAAUGCCGGACUGGAGGCACUCAGAGGCCGGUGGAAUUCCCGGUGUAGUGGUGAAAUGCGCAGAUAUCAGGAGGAACACCGGUGGCGAAGGCGGGUCUCUGGGCCGAUACUGACGCUGAGGAGCGAAAGCGUGGGGAGCGAACAGG
rnacentral:rRNA from 1 species